CUUGGUGUUACUGCGAAGGGGGGACGGAGAAGGCUAUGUUGGCCGGGCGACGGUUGUCCCGGUUUAAGCGUGUAGGCUGGUUUUCCAGGCAAAUCCGGAAAAUCAAGGCUGAGGCGUGAUGACGAGGCACUACGGUGCUGAAGCAACAAAUGCCCUGCUUCCAGGAAAAGCCUCUAAGCAUCAGGUAACAUCAAAUCGUACCCCAAACCGACACAGGUGGUCAGGUAGAGAAUACCAAGGCGCUUGAGAGAACUCGGGUGAAGGAACUAGGCAAAAUGGUGCCGUAACUUCGGGAGAAGGCACGCUGAUAUGUAGGUGAAGUCCCUCGCGGAUGGAGCUGAAAUCAGUCGAAGAUACCAGCUGGCUGCAACUGUUUAUUAAAAACACAGCACUGUGCAAACACGAAAGUGGACGUAUACGGUGUGACGCCUGCCCGGUGCCGGAAGGUUAAUUGAUGGGGUCAGCGCAAGCGAAGCUCUUGAUCGAAGCCCCGGUAAACGGCGGCCGUAACUAUAACGGUCCUAAGGUAGCGAAAUUCCUUGUCGGGUAAGUUCCGACCUGCACGAAUGGCGUAAUGAUGGCCAGGCUGUCUCCACCCGAGACUCAGUGAAAUUGAACUCGCUGUGAAGAUGCAGUGUACCCGCGGCAAGACGGAAAGACCCCGUGAACCUUUACUAUAGCUUGACACUGAACAUUGAGCCUUGAUGUGUAGGAUAGGUGGGAGGCUUUGAAGUGUGGACGCCAGUCUGCAUGGAGCCGACCUUGAAAUACCACCCUUUAAUGUUUGAUGUUCUAACGUGGACCCGUGAUCCGGGUUGCGGACAGUGUCUGGUGGGUAGUUUGACUGGGGCGGUCUCCUCCUAAAGAGUAACGGAGGAGCACGAAGGUUGGCUAAUCCUGGUCGGACAUCAGGAGGUUAGUGCAAUGGCAUAAGCCAGCUUGACUGCGAGCGUGACGGCGCGAGCAGGUGCGAAAGCAGGUCAUAGUGAUCCGGUGGUUCUGAAUGGAAGGGCCAUCGCUCAACGGAUAAAAGGUACUCCGGGGAUAACAGGCUGAUACCGCCCAAGAGUUCAUAUCGACGGCGGUGUUUGGCACCUCGAUGUCGGCUCAUCACAUCCUGGGGCUGAAGUAGGUCCCAAGGGUAUGGCUGUUCGCCAUUUAAAGUGGUACGCGAGCUGGGUUUAGAACGUCGUGAGACAGUUCGGUCCCUAUCUGCCGUGGGCGCUGGAGAACUGAGGGGGGCUGCUCCUAGUACGAGAGGACCGGAGUGGACGCAUCACUGGUGUUCGGGUUGUCAUGCCAAUGGCACUGCCCGGUAGCUAAAUGCGGAAGAGAUAAGUGCUGAAAGCAUCUAAGCACGAAACUUGCCCCGAGAUG
rnacentral:rRNA from 1 species